GGGACAGAUUAACCCUUGGGCUCAGUCCCCCCACCCCUGCUGCCACAGUGGGUAGGGGUGGGGGAGCUGGCCUUUCUUCUUUUUCCUGGAUACAAUUGCCUUUGUGUUGGGACCCUCUGUCUCAGCAGACACACCCGUGGGCCAAAUUCUCUAGACCCCAGAAAAGUGAAAACAGGCCAUUGCCAAGACAAGCAGGGAGGCUGGAAGCAGCAACCCGGCUGCCAGUGAGUCAGGCAGGAGCGGAAACAGGAUGCUUUGUGACUUCCAGGUAUUCUGAGUCUCCUAAGCUUUUAUUUUUAUCUCUUUAAAAAGACAGUGCUGCUGUAAAAGGGUUUAGUAAGAUAAACCAGGACUUCACCCCUUCCCUUUGAAAGAGCCUGAGCUGGAUUCUUCCAGGCUCAGAAAACCCUGGUGUGCCCCUUGACCUGCAUCUGGGGAAUGCGGGGGCCUUCCAGGCUGCCUUCUGACCGCCACUCUCUGAAUGAACAAACCAUAAUGGGUCAAUUCUCUGCUGUCUGCUAUUUAAAACAACGGGUUCCUUCCUGUUUCCUACGCUGACUGAGGCUUCUUCUGUGUUAAAGAAAAAAAGAGAAACCCGGAAUACAGUGCCCCUCUGAGACUGAAUGAGCCACACAGCUCGCUGCUGCUCCACAAAGCUCCUGUUUUAUCUGUACAGAUGGCUCUCACUUGGUGUUGGGUGCCUGGCUCUGUGAGGAAUCUCUGACCUGCAAGUGUUCCCACCAGAGGAAGAAGGGUAGAUGCCCCGCCCCCUACAUACACCGGAAGUGAGGAUUCACUAUACUUUUUUCCGCUUCAGUUUGGUUAGAGACAAAGAGAGGUUUAGUUACUGCCUGCUCCCAUGUCAAGGUAUGGCAGACAGGGGACAAACAGUAUGGUCUUAGAGGGUGGGGCAGGGACAGGCUCGGGGAGCCUGACUCUUUUUCCUUCCCUUAGACUGAGUGUGAGAAAGAUUAGGUUAGAAGGGAACCCAGAUUCCCUUCAGCCGUGAGUUUCAGGAGCUCCUGUUUUCCUGGGAACACCACCCAACUGAACUAAAGGUCGACCACAUUUCUGGCCUUGCAUUGUUUGGUGGCUCUUGGGCUUCGGCUUCUCUAAGAGGGACGGUUAGCCUGGAGUCACCCAGUCAUUCACCAGCACACUGGACCCCAUAAUGGCUUGGGAUCACAGUAGUUCCCACCUGUGGAAGCUGCCAUCUCCACAGAAUGGCUGUGGAAGACAUACACCUGGGCAUACACUCAGGGAAGUGGGAUUCAGAUAGUGUUGUAUCAGGUCGUGAGGAGAAAGGAAAACUUCCAGCCUGAAAGGAAAGAAGGUAUUCCCAGUAGAGGGGAUCUAGGAGCAAGUGUGCAGUGUGUGUGGGGUGACUAAGACAUGGAUGGGGUCUGGUGCUAUACCAGAGCUCUGUAGAUAGCUACAGCACAAAGAAAGACAAGUGUAGUUAGAGUGUGUGUGCAUGUGUGUGCACCUGUGCUUAUGCAUGUGAGUGUGACUUGGGAGGAGCCUAAGACAAAGUUUUCAAAGUAAGACUGGGCAGGGUGUCCUGAGACAAACCCAUAUUCCCAACACCCAAGAGACUGAGGUAAGAGGCCGGGAGUUCCACCCCAUCAUGGGUUAUGUAGCAAGACCCCUGUCGUAGGAAACAUAACAUUAUGUUGGAAGCUGAAAGUGUGGUUGGCCGAAGAAAGCCCAAAAUACCAUUUUAAGGCCUUGAGGUACGCAAGAGUUACAGGAUGAAAUAUUAUACUCGUGUUCUGUUUAUUUUGGAACAGAGUCUCACUGUGCAGCCUAGGCUGAGGGGUACCUUGUGAUCUUCCUGCCUCUGCCUCCAGAACGCUAGGGUCACAGGUCUCUGCCAUGGUGCCAGCACUGGACAUGGACUUUGAAGACUGCAUCCUGCAUUCUCUUUAGGAAGAGGGGGAAGGACCAGUCAGGAGGUGGCUGUGAGGAUCUAAGACUGAAUGAAGGAGGGAGAUGGGGAGGCUGAGCCGUCACUGCUGUGUGGUGUGUGAUGUGGUGUGGGUAUGUGUAUGUGUGGUGUGUGUCUGUGGAGUGUGUGUUUGUGUCUCUGUGUGGUACGUGUGUAGUGUGUGAUGUGGUGUAUAUGGUAUUGUGUGUGUGGUAUGAGUAGAGUGUGUAUGUGGUGUGUUGUGUGUGGUAUGUAUAUACAGUAUGUGUGGUAUAUAUUUGCAUAUGUUUGUAUGUGUGGUGCAUAUGUAUAAGUGUGUGUGUAUGUGUAUGGUGUGUAUAUAGUAUGGUAUGUGGAGAAUGUUUGUGUGUGUUUGUGGAUAUGGUGCAUAUGUGUGUGUUGUGUGUAUACAUGUGUGGUAUGUAUUUGUGAGUAUGUGUUGUAUGUGUAUGGUGUGUGUGUUGUGUGUGUGUAUGUGUGGUAUAUAUUUGUGAGGGUGUGUAUGGUGUGUUCCUGUGUGCAGUAUGUGGCAUGUGUGUAUGUCAUGUGUGUUGCGGUAACUAUUAAAAAUAACCACAAACCCUUGCCAGCCAGCGUCGUUGAAACAUAUGGCACUAGCAGGGUAUAUUCAUCUCAGCGGUGACUGGUUCUAGGGCACCAGGCCACACUACUUCUAGCUAUUCUCUGGUCUUAGCAGUGGCCGCCACUCUGGCUCUCUGCCACCGAUCUCUGCUCACAUUCCCAGCAACCCAGUAAAAUCAAGACUCUAGAGGGCCCAGCAGCUUCCUGUUGCGGACUCUGCUCACAUUCCCUGCAAGCAACCUGCAGUCACUGUCACAACCCACACCAGCCCAACUAAAUCAAAACUCCAAAGCUUGUAACUUAACAAUCAGAUUUAUCUCAGAAAUUUAUCUCAGUAAAUUUACACCCCACAAAACACCCAUAUAAUAAACUCAGAGCCAAUAGAUGAACUGCUCACCUAGAUAAGACAAAUUGUCCUAUAAAAAUCCAUCCCUUAAGAAGUAUUCAUAACUACCUUGGCCAUUUAAGGCCACACGGAUCUGGGUCGUCCUUCUCUGCCUCCACCUUGGUUCUUCUUCUCUUCUCCUCCCCAUCCCUCCUCUCUUCAUAACUCUGUGCCCUCCUUAGUUUUUCACUGCCCAAUCACAGGCCUUGUCUUAGCUUGCGCCAGUCCUCACCUGCAUAUAGACAAUAAUCUAUACUUCUACCUUUCUGUCUAAUUACAAAAGGAACUUUUCUCUCAAAUAUAAGCUGAGCACAACUAUUGUCAUUUUGUAAUUUACAAAGUAUAAAACGUACCUAACACCCAGGCUGUCAUUUUUGUCAAUAAAAUAGAACAUUUUGUUAUAUAUUUUAGCUUAAAUCUAUAUGUUAUGUCUUGGCUAGCUUGUAUACUAUCUGAAAACUAUCUAAUUAAACAUGUAUGUUAAACAGCCUGGGUGGGCUAUGAGACCAUAACUAGUCUUCAACCCCAUCAGAAAUCUGAAAGUGACAAUACUAUCUGAAAAUAUAGGAAGUCUAGCACAGCUUCCCGAACUGAGACAAGUUGAAGAGACAACUGUCUAGCAGUACAGUCCCCUGUUAGCAACAUAUAAGAGCAUCAGUCUUCCGCCUUCUGGCCCAGUACCAUCUGACAGACCUUUGUAACACAGAAUUUUGAAGGACCGAUUAUUCUGACUUGGCAGAUGUUAUCAGUUGACUAUUCUGCAAGUGUGUCCUUUUCUGUAAAGGAAAUAGGCAAUUUCUGCCCAGUGGCUGCCUAGCCACAAUGUGUUACCUCACCUGGAGGUAGAGACACUCAAUUUCUUCUUUGAAUCCAUAAAAGGGGAGCUGCUAGGAGCAGAUGUGUCUCAACAACAAAAGAAUAAUAAACAUUAAAUGUCACAUUUUGUGGAUUUCUGACAUUUUUGAAAACUAUCUAUGUAAAGUAAUCUGGACUGUUGUCCAUUAACUACUCUUAAUAAAUUAUCUUGAAAACACCCUAACAGUAAAGUCAUAGCCAUGAGUUUGUUAUCUGGCCCUUAAUUCCUAUGUUUAAUCAUCUCAGAUUAGUUUUUUAAUAUCAGUUAAAGGACUGGGUCCUAGGCCUUGUAUUCUUAAAUGUGUUAGGCACAGUACCUAUAUGAGGGUAACAAUAUUAAUCUCAAUUUUAAAUCAAUAUGAAAUUCAUACUAAUGAAAACCUUAAACUUGUACCAAAUAAAUUCUGUACUAAUGUAAAAGAUUAUAACUUCAGCUUAGUAACAAAUAUAAGGUUUUCUACCAAAUGAGAUUAUGGCUGCAAACUCAAUCUUAGCUAAUUCCUCCCUGUUAAAUUAUGGCCAUUUCUAAAUUCUCCAGAAAGACAACCUUAGAAUAACCACCUUCAGCCUCCCGGAGUUCAGGGAAUUGGGGCGAUGACUGACAAUGAGCCUCACCAAAGCUGUACACAUAAAUCUCAAAACAAACUUUAGUAUCAUCAAGAUAUCUGUAUGGAUUGUAUUAGUCUCUGUAGGUUAUACAGACUGGUUAGGGUGAAAUGUUGUUGUUGUUGUUGUAAUUCUUUUGAAUCUAGUUCUUCAGGAGGUCUCCCUUUAUCAAAUCUGAUCCACAUAAUUCUGUAAGGUGUCCAGAGCCUAAUCACCCUUUUUAAAAACACAAAGACAAAACCUUUUCCCAAAAUAGCAUGUCCUUUAGUUGGCCACCAGAAAAGCUUGUAUCUUGCACUCUCUCCCAGAGAAAAAAUAUUAUCACAAAACUUAAAAUCAUACCCAUUUUGAAAAUUAAAACAAUUUAAAAUAAAUGAAGUAAACUAAACAAUACUGUAGGAGCCUGUUUAGGCUUCUCUAAUCUGUCAUGUCAGGAAAUCAACCCAAAAUUCCUGUGGAUCCCACAUUAGAGAGAAUCUGAGUAUCCUGCAGGCCAAAACAUACCAUCUAUCUGUUAACCUCUCUCCCUGGAGCCUCAGACUUUUAUUCAUUAACAGCUAUAAUACUCAUCAACAACUUCUAUAAUAUACAUCUGUUUGCACUCUGCCUGGUGCUACAGACUUUUAUUUUUUUCUACCUUAGUUCCGAAUCGUGGGUGAAAUUCCCCACGUGACUCCGACAAACUCUGUAUAUAAAUCUAUUCUAAAAGCAAAUAAACCAGCCUUUGAAUUAGGCCACACUCUUGGCCCUUUGACCUAGAGCUGCCUGUUUCUUUUCACAGCAGGGGACUGAGAGUCAGUGACUCCCCCUCUGUUCCUUUGUUUCAUGGUUCCCACGCUGGGGUCCACGUGACUCACCUUGGUGGCACCACCUUUUUGAAUUAGAAAAAUAAAAUUUUCUCAGGCUGAUAAUCUUAAAUUUUUAGUAGAUUCUUGCCUAACACAUUGGUUCACCACUUGUUGCAGUAAAUAUUAAAAAGUAACCACAAACCCUUGCUAGCCGGUAUCAUCGAGCCAUAUGGCACUAGCAGGGUAUAUUCAUCUCAGCGGUGACUGGUUCCAGGGCACCAGGCCACACUACCUCUAGCUAUUCUCUGGUCCCUGUGGCGGCCACUCUGGCUCUCUGCCACCGAUCUCUGCUCACACUCCCAGCAUCCGCCCCCAAAUUGUUACAGUAUCGACUCCCAGCAACCCGUUAAAAUCAAGACUCAAUGAGCUUGUAAUUUAGUAAUCAGAUUUCUAUCUUAAACUCUCAUCCCACAAAACGUCCACACAAUAAACUCACAACCAAUUGAUAAUGAUAUAAAUCAUCUACCAAUAUAAGAUAAAUUGUCCUAUAAAAAUCCAUCCCUUAAGAAAUAUUCAUAACUACCUGUGGCCAUUUAAGGCCACACGGAUCUGGGUCGUCCUUCUCUGCCUCCAUCUUGGUUCCUCUUCUCUUCUCCCCAUCCCUCCUCUCUUCAUAACUCUGUGCCCUCCUUAGUUUUUCACUGCCCAAUCACAGGCCUUGUCUUAACUUGGGUCAGCCCUCACCUGCAUAUAGAUAAUGUGUGUAUGUGUGUGUGUGUUGUAUAUGCACUCACAUGUGUGGUGUGUGUUUGUGUCUAUAUGUAUGUGUGGUAUGAGUGGUGUGUAUGUAUAUGUAUGUAGUGUAUAUGGUGUGUGUGGUAUGUAUUUGUGAGUAUGUGUUGCGUGUGUAUGGUAUAUGUUGUGUGUGUGUGGUAUGUGGCAUGUGUUUAUGUCAUGUAUGUGUUAUAUGUGCACACAUGUGUGGUAUGUGGCAUGUGUUUAUGUCAUGUAUGUGUUAUAUGUGCACACACAUGUGGUAUGUGUUUGUGUCUGUAUGUAUGUGUGGUAUAAGUGGUGUGUAUGUAUAUGUGUGUAGUGUGUGGUGUGUGUAUGUGUGUGUGUGUGGUAUAUGUGGUAUGUGGUGUAUGUGGUGUGUGUGUCUGUAUGUAUGUGUGAUAUGAGUGGUGUGUGUGUAUGUGUGUAGUAUGCAUAGUGUGUGUGUGUGGUGUAUAGUGUAUGUAUGUGUAUAGUAUAUGUGGUAUAUAUAUAUAUGUGUGUGUGUACUGCAUAUGUAGUAUGUGUGUUUGUGUACAUGUGUGUGCGGUAUGAUAUAGGGUGUGCAUACAUGUCUGUGGUGUUUGUACAUGUGUGUGUGUGAUAUGUGUGUGUUUGCAUGUGUAUGUGUGGUGUGUGUGUGGUAUGUGUACUGUGUGUGUGUGUCUGUGGUAUGUGUGUGUGUAAUGUAUGUGUGUGUGGUGUGUGUGGUAUGUGAAUGUAGUGUAUGUAUGCUAUGUGUAUGUGGUAUGUGUGUAUAGUGUAUGGAUGUGUAGUGUGUGUGUGUGUGUGUGAGAGAGAGAGAGAGAGAGAGAGAGAGAGAGAGAGAGAGAGAGAGAGAACAAGCAAACUGUGGGUAGGCAGGAAAAGAGGACUUGGUUUGUGGAUGGAGCACUCAGCUAGGUAGAUGGAUGAGCUCAACUGAGAUCCAGCAUGCCCCAGGGCUAACAGCCCCAGGAAACCAGUGGCUGGACCAGUAAUGUCCCAGCAAUGGGGAGGUGAGAGGUGAUCUGAUAGGAGUUAGGGGAAGGGGAUGAGUAUAAUCAAAAUAUGUUGCAUGUGAUUAUCAAACAGUAAGCAGCAGCCUAUUUGGAGAAAUGGGAGAAUUUUAAUUCAUCGAGAGAUGGGAAAGUGGGGGAAGCAAGGUCAUUUCUUAUUUGUUUCUUGAAAAAUAGCAUUAUUUUUCCUUUGCAAAUUGCUUCUUGUCUACCCAGAUGUAUAGGGCUUUUGUGUACAGACUAAUUUUACCCCAGGAUUUAAGAAUGGGAGGGCAGGUUUGAGGCGUAGGAUAAUGAAGUGGGGGUAUAUUUGGAAAUCCUCUUAGCUUCACCACCUUGGUCAUGUUCUCUGAUCAGUUUUAGUAAUAACAAGCACACUGUUUGGAUUGUGAGAUAAAAAGAGUUAAUUGAUCAAGAAGAGGGAAGGAGCUGGUUUCUAAGUUUAUUUAGGGGAUAAGGAAGGUGGAGCAGAGGGGAGGAAGCCACUGCAUGUAGAAAUCCUUUCUGCCACACACAAAGACACAAACAACCCCCCUGGAAGGCUCCUCUGAGGAAUUUGUUUUGAAAGCUGCUUCAGGUCAAGGAGCCGGAAGGAAUGAGUAGGGUUAAGCUCCCCUUCCCAGGCCCCAUGGUAGAGCCCUCCACAUGGCUCCGCUGUCUCUCCUUUGCUUUCGGGAUGAUCUGUUGGCUCCCCUUGGCCUCAUGCAAGUAUUUGAACAACAAACACAUGUUACUCUCACACUCAGGGAAGUUUUUAAAGAGUGCAGUAAGUUAAGCCAAAUGGAGAGGCUACAAACCCCAGCACCCUCGCUAAUGUGCUGAACAGGGAAGGAAGGCAGGCCUGUGGUUGAUGCAUUUUGAGAAUCAUCAGUGAUGAUGAUGCCCGAUGCCUUCACUCCAGACUGGGCCUCCUACUGUUGAGAGUCCCUUCUUCACAUCAUAGCUUUUCAAAGCUGGAUUUCCGUAUCUUUCUCAGAGUUUGUCUACAAACGAGACCUUACUGUCACUCAAGUUCUGUGCCACCCCAACCCCCAUCUAGCCCAGAUAGUGGUUGGGACAUCCCCUUGCCUGGGAAGACACCCAGGGGGCCACUGACAGCUUUGUGGCUUCCUUCCUUGGCCGACUCAGACUCACAGCCCGCAGCCCCACAGAUGUUCUUUUUGGGUUUAUCUUGAUAGCCUGUUUUAAAAACAGUUCGUAUCCACCAACUGUUCAGAUAAUAAUAUUCCAAGUACCAAGCAACUGUGAUUAUUUCCGGUGGUGUUUGUUCUGACAGGCACAACUUAGCUGGAAAACACGAGGCUGAUGGUAGGGUGUGGGGGGUGUGUGUGGGUUCCCCUUUCUUGCUCUCCUUCUCACUGAGGUUGGUAUGCAGCACAAGGAAGUCUUAUUUUUAGCUUGCUCUCAUAUGAGAGUCCCAUGUUUCCUGGGUGGGAGAGAAGGAAAAAGAAAGGCAGACAGAAGGCACAUAGUGUUCUGGGACCAAUCCUCUUUCCCCUGGUCUAGACCAUCACGACACCAAAACGAGGAUUUUGACACAAAGCUCAAAAGUGUAGGACUCCCUUCCAGGGCAAAGCUUAGUGAUCUAAGCCUCCAUGAAGCCCCACCUCCGACGGGCUUUGCUCAGGGUAGGGCUGGUACCUGAAAACGAUUGUCUCAAGCCAUCUAAACCAAAAUCACACUUCCUGCCUGCUCCACUGCCGGUUCAGGAGGCCUCAGCUUCCCCUCAGCGUACAAAGAUUCCUGCGACUUUUCCAGGCCUAGGUCUGCUGGUGCCUCGGGCCGCCUCCACUCUUGUCAUCCAGUGUCCAUCCAAUGUCAUCUACUGUCAAUCAAAUGCACCUGCCUUCCUUAAGAUUUUUAAUAAAAAUUAUAUUUGUAUGUGUGUGAGUAUGUGUGAGUGUGUGCAUGUGUGUGAGUGUGUGUGUAGGCCAGCAAAGGGCAUCAGAUCUGUUAGAGUGGAGUCACAGGUGUUAGUGAACUGUUGAACAUGAGCGUUAGGAUCUGAAGCCUGUUCUGAUUGAACAGGAAGUGUUCAUAACCACCGAGCCAUCUCACCACCCUCCUCCUGUGAUAUUCUAAUGUCUUGCUUUGUCUGUCAUCCACACACACUCUUUCCACUUGCAGCAGGCCCAUGGUCAUUGCAGCAGUAGUUUUUGUCACACCUUCCACUGUCGCUGUCAUAGGUCCAGUUCCCUAAUGUUAUCCCCACUGGUGUCUGCCCGCUCGAAGGCCCUAGUGAUUGCUUCCUGUGGGCAAAGUGGAAUCCCACGGCCUUCUGAGGGCAUGUAGUAUCCCAGGCUCUGCCUCCCCUCUCCUCAAUCUCAUGCUUCUUCCCAUGGCUAGGUGGCCAAGAUUACCACCUGUGCUGUCUGGUGGAGUGACUGCAGGCCAGUUCCAGGUGGUGCCCCACAGACACUUUCUGGGGUUGUACAGGGCCAGCCCCUGCAACCUUCGAACACGGUUUCAGCCUGAAGCAGCUUCUUCUCCAUGCCACACCACCCGUCUAGCUUCUCUCGGCAGAUCCUAGCCAAGAGAGGAUAGAUCUUUAUUGUGACUUAGAGAAAAAUGAUACCAGUGUUUAUUUUUUGAGUUUUCUUGUCAUGGAACCCAAGACCCCCAAAAGGAUAGAGCCAUGAGGUAUUUUUCUACGUGCACCCGCUGUGAUGACUGCUGUCUGACACUCAGCUCUGCCUGCCCUAACAGGUCCCUGGGAAAAUCUACUUUGCCGUGGUUUGAAUGUGAAUGGUCCCUGUGGGUGCCCAUGCUUGACCACAUGGUCUCCAGUGGGUGGUGCUAUUUUGAGAGGUUGGCUGAGCGUGCAGUGGCCCUGGCAGAAGCAGACCACUGGAGGUAGACUUUGCGGUUUUAUUGGCCUCUCAGUUCAGGUUAGAACACUAUGCUUGUUGACCUACUAUGUGAACAAGCCUCAGUGCACACUCCCGCCACUGUGGGGUUGUCCUACCAUGCCUUCCUCACCACAGUAGAAGAGCCACCUGACAGCCAAAGUCAGUCCUUCUUUGCUUCUGCCCGGUCACAGCAGUGAGACAAGUAAUCAAGAGAAAUAUGAAAGGAAGAGGUUUACCUGGCCUCGUAGUUCUGGAGGGUUCUGUACACAGUUGGCUGCUCCCAUAGUUUUGAGCAGGGCAGCAAAGCAAGUGAGAAGUGGGACUACAUUUACUCCAUGUCUAGGACACACAUAGUCCCACAGUUCCCUUCAGGAGUGCAUCACCAGCCUCCUGCCUGGCUUCACUUACAGUUCCCAGAAGCCCCUGGUGGCCCCAUGCUGGGGAGCAAGUUCGUUUGGGGGACACAAGAUUAAAGAUCCAGUAGCCAGUGCUCUAUGAACCGUGAUGGACGAAUAACAGAACUCAUGGGUUGGGUUGUCCUGGCUGCACAUUUUGUUAAUUAUCUCUGGUCACAUUUAGUGUUCUGCCAAUCCCUACCUGGGACCCUGAGUCCAGGGCAGGUGGUUGUGGGUGUGGGUGGAGGAAGACCUGGGUGAGGGAGCUUCAGGACCCUGUCAGUAGAUCACUUGUGCUUAUAUCUGCUUCACAACCUAAGGGCUGGUAGAAGACUGCCAGCCCUCAGCUACCACAGCACAGAAACCUAUUUGGGGGCCAGCAGGAUAGCUCAGCAGUAAACGUGCUAACCUUUACUGGUGAUCUGAAUUCAAUCCCUGGGAUCGACAUGGUAAGAGGGACAGAAUCCUACCCUUGUCCUGUGACCUCUGCAUUUGCUCUGUGCAAUGCACACACACACACACACACACACACACACACACACACACACACACACACACACACACGAUUUUUAAAAUAACGAUUUUUAAAGCUCUUAAUUAUUUAUUUUACUUAUACAAGGUCUUUCAUGUAACUUUUGCAGGUGAAUACCGCUCAUGAUAAAUUAAAAUAGAAACAAACCAUGAAUAUAGCUUAGGAAGGCAAAAGUCCCAAACUCUCUAAAAAGAAUGCCUUAAUGGUGCUUUCCACAGCUCAGAGCAAUCCCACUUCACUGUGGGACAGCCCCUUGGUGGAAGAACCGUGCAGGCAGAGACCACCAAUGGUGGGGUUCAGGAACCCCGGGAGAGGUGAGAUAGCUGGGCAGUGUCCUGGGGUGCGGCACCAGCCAGUCUGCACCCGGGGGAGCCUUCCGUGUUGGUCAUCUGCUGGUUUCCUGGCUUGUCAUCUCCAGGCCCUCCGCAGACUUUCUCAUUUUGAGUGAGACUGACUCAGCAGGCAGCCUGGGAGCCCCUGGUUGUUGACGGGGAGUGGCAGGGGGAAGCACUGUAUGCGCAUUUAUCCUGGGUUUGGAUAUUUAAAGAGCUGGACAGGCUGCACAAAAUUUCGGAAGUGCUUGGGGAAGGCCUGAGUUGUAGACCGGCUUUUCUUUAAACAGCUAUAGACAUCCUGUCCCGAUCUCUCGGUCCACAAAGAGUAAUUUUCUUUUCCUAACAAUCUGACAUGGGUCCAGCCCAUUGUGUAGGUCUCUCUGGCAGGCCUGGAGGAAGCAGGUGGCUAGUGGUGGGACACAUGCCCAGCUACGACCCAGGCCGGCAGUGGGUCUUCGUCCAAGUGCGACCUUGCUCCCUGCAAGAAAAACUUGGCAUGGCCUCCUGGGCUGCUGGGCUGUGGGGGCUGACCACCGCCAAGUUGUACCAGGGCACCUGGGCCGGGGCUGACCCUGCACCUGGGGUGGGAAGAAUGAACUCUCUGGGCCCCUGGGGGGUGUUGGCAUAGAGAAUAGCCACAGAGCCCCUGGGGACUCUGGGCCCGGCAGGCUUCCUCUUUAGGGUUUGCUGUUUUCCCUGGCUCCGGAAACUGCUCCUGCGUCAUUUUUACUAUUUGAAUGGCCACGUUGGGUUGUUUUCAGGGAGGUGCCCCCUUUGUCGCUUUUCUCAGUCAGGAUGUUGUUUGCAAUAGAUUUCGUCAGUCUGUCUGCCUUUGUUUUCCCUCCCCAGUGCACAUGCAGGAAGUCUUCAGAACCCGUGGAAGCAAUGAGCUGCAGCGGCUGCCCCGAUGGGCAUGCUUUAAUUUUUCUCUUAUGACAUUUAUUGUUCCCAUCGUGGUUUUCACAGGUCAUCGUGUCUCCAUGCUCACUAUAGCACAUUUGGAAAAUGUAGAAAACGAAUACAGGUUAUCUGUCGCACCGGUCAGAGAGCUGCUUUAAUUUAAAUUGGGUGCCUUCUGCCCAUACCUUUUACGCCUAGUCCAGCCCUUACCUCCCUAGAGUUGUUUCAUGGCUUUCCACGCUUUGGAAGUAGAGUUUAAAACUUUGAAGAUCUCUUUUGGCAAAGCAGUGACUAAGACCAACCAUUAUUAGGGAGUAAAUCAGGUCCCCAAAACUCCGAGGAUCUCAAUUUAGUUUGAAAUUGCAUUUGUGUUUAUUCGUGAAUAUGCAUUUGAAGGUCAGAGGACAACUUUCAGGAAUCAGUUCUUUCUUUCCACCACGUAGGUCACGGGGACCAAACUCAUGUUUGAAACAUGUCAAGCCAUCCAGCGGGUGUACAUUAGCCCCUGAAUCUUUUAAAAUAAGCUAUGGUAUGUGGGAUUUUCUCUUUUUAUUUAAUAGUUUACACAUUUCUUGGUAACAAACAAGGAAAAAAAGGCAGAAAGUUGUGGGCCCUGGCAGCAGGGGUCUGGUUUCAGGCUUAGCCAAAGCAUUCCUCGGGUUUCCCCUUCUCUAAAAUGCUAACAACAUUACCUGAUUAGAUGUGGGUGGAGAAUAUUUGGUAGAGAGACUAUGGUCUCUGUGGCUUGACCCUACUGAACACUCAUAAAAGUUCUGAAAGUCCCUGUUAUAGGCUGGAUUGAGUCUAUUCCAACUCUGCCUGAAAGUCCUGUGCAAUCUUACCCCUCAGGACCUCAGAAUGAGACUGCAUCAGUCAGCUUUCUACUACUAUACCAAACUACCCGAGAUAAUGAAUUUACAAAUACAAAAGGUUUAUUUUGUCCCUGAAUUUUGGUGGAUCCAGUUCAAGAUCAGCAAGAUUGUUGGUUUGGGCCUCCAGUGGGUGUGCUAAGGCUUCUAGAACCUUCUGGUUGUACUGUUCUGGGGAACGUACCUUUGACACUUGGAUCUCAGGGGAACAUUCAACACCUAACCUGCUCACAUCUUGGUUUUGACUUUCAGCCAAAAAAAAAAAAAAAAAAAAGUUAGCUGGGUGGUGGUGGUGCACACCUUUAAUCCCAGCACUCUGAGAUAGAGUUUGAAGGUACAGAGUUCUGGCCUACGGAGCAAGUUCUAAAACAGCCAGGGCUACACAGAAAAACCCUGUCUAGAAAAACAAAAACAGAAAGAAAUAUAAGUGCGCUUGUUUAAGCAGUUAGCAUAGCCACUUGGUUUUGAAAUGCUCGAGUUUGUAUGGCCCAUGCGUCAGAAUUAGAAAACCAACCACGCCAUUCUGCUAAGUGCACUCUAGAGGCACGUGGUUGUAGAGCUGGGCAGACCAACCCAGUUCCUCAGCAGGAUUAGGGUGUCACUGUUCUGUGCUUCUGAGACCCCACUCUAAGUCCUUGAGCUCUAAGGGCUGUGCACAGGAAGCUGAGGAGCACAUGGAAGAAAGCACAUGGUCUUGCUCUGCCCUGUAGCUCGUUCUAUUCCCAGGGAGACUGGUGGCCCUGUGUUCUUCUCUCACACAUCGUUCCCAGACUCAUGUUCCCCCAGGCCGCAGCCUGCUCUCCAGUUCCACUUGGAGGGAACUCACUUCUCCUUCAGGAGCCUUGCCUAGCGUCUUCCAGUACAGAUGCCCCUUUUAUGGAAGUGCAUGAAUACUCAGUGACUUGCUAUCACCUCCAUAAGGCAAUGGAGGUUCUCUGUGUAUUCUAGUUGGACCACAGAUCUUAGGUAGGACCUUGGCUCUAGAUUUGGUCAUAGCGGAGGCCGCUAAGCGAUGGGCAUGCAAAGCUUCCUUAGGGCAAUGAAGCCAGCCCCCUAGCUUUUCUUUGGACUAUGGAAGUUGCUGCUGGGUAAGGGAAUUUUUGUUAGGAUUCUGAGAUGUGGUUGAAGAGUUAAAUUUCAAAAAGUUAGUCAUAAACAAGGUCCGGACUACCUAAGGGAGACUAUAGGGCUUGCCGGACCAUUUGGAGCUGAAGAGUUAAAAUAAAAACUUCAUAAAAACUAUAAAAGAACAGCAGAUAAGGGGGCAGGACAGAGCUGGCCUGAGAUGUGCCCGGCCAAGCCCAAAAGCAAGGUCGAGGGAUUGUUCCAGGGACCGGCAGCCACCAUCUCCUCUGAGUCGGGGGCCAUCCGGACGGACGGAUGACUCCCUGCUCUACAGAUAAAGAUAAGACGUUCUCCUAUAUUGAGAACACCCCAGCCUGCACGUACUGCUUGCAGAUGAGACCUUGUACCCAUUUCCCUUGCUGAUAACCACGUGAAACCCCCUGGCUUCUCCUAUAUAAACCCCUGCCUGAAGAGGCUCGGGGUCGAUUCCUCUGUCUCCUGUGUGAGAUACGUGUCGACCCGGGAUCCCGCUAAGACCCGGGAUCUCGUUAAUAAAGCUACCUCCUGCUGUUACAUCAAGAUGGCUACUCGUGAUUCCUGGGGGCACCCCAUCCCACGAUUGGAGCGAGAGACACGUCCCCCGUUUAGGGGUACGCUCUUUCAUGGUCUUACUGUACAGGCUGGACUGAGUGGAAUCUUUUUCCUCAGUCACCCACGUACUGGAAUUACAGACACAGAUGACCAUGCUUGGCGUUUGGGAUGGUUCCACAGACCCUGGACAGCAAGGAAACAGCCAACUCUCCUGAGAAUGGAGCAACAUCCCCACACCCACGUUCCUAGGUUCUCCAGAGACAUGGCGCCCCAAAGUCAGCAGGAAGUAGCUAAAGAUCACGACAACCAUAUUCCUGCUCCACCAUCAUCUCUUCCUAAUUUUUACUUCUUUUUUUCUUUUCUUUUUUUCGGAGCUGGGGACCGAACCCAGGGCCUUGCGCUUGCUAAGCAAGCGCUCUACCACUGAGCUAAAUCCCCAACCCCUAAUUUUUACUUUUUAAAUUACACCAGAAUGGGAAAAUGUUAGUAUUUUGUCUAGGCUCCACCCUACCUUUACCUAGCAACAUCCAGAGAUGCCUGACUCACUAUAAAAGGGUCUGCUGUCCCCCUCUUCUCUCUUUUGCCUUCUUGCUCCUGCUGCCCCUUUCUCCCCAUGCUCAUGGCCAGCGCGCUCUCUCUCUCUCUCUCUCUCUCUCUCUCUCUCUCUCUCUCUCUGUCUUUCUCUGUCUCUACUAACCUCUCAACUCCCCUCCCUAUGCCCUGAAUAAACUCUCUCCUAUGCUAUAUUGUGUGGCUGGUCCCUCAGGGGAAGGGAUGCCUCAGCAUGGGCCCUCAGAGGCACCCCUUUGCCUCACACCUUACUGCACCUCUACCAAACAUAUUCCUUCUCACUCUACCUUUGAAUAGAACACAACACAUGGUGCUUCCUCACAGCGACAUAAUGCAAACUAGGACAGCAGUUCUUGCCAAGGAGCUCUGUAUCGUAAGAGGACAUGGCUGCAGUUUGCAGUCAGUGUCACCUCUGACUUUCCAUAUUGUAUGUGUACAGGGUCAGGGUCAGGAAGUGAGGCUCCUUCUGGGUCAGCGCAGGCCUAGCAUGCAUGGACUUCCUUUAGAGAACCUCAGAUUCCUUGUUGGCAUCUCGUCGCACCUUUCAGUUCUUACCAUUUUGGUGCUGGCCUUUGGUGGCCACAUUGCUUCGGGAAUCUGACAUCUGAGGAGUUUCUGCAGCUGAUUGCUUAUCCUAAGCACAUGGAGGUUGGAGAUGGGGAUGUCUGGUGAGCCUUGGGUCAGAUAAAGAGAAGUCUCAGAUUAGAUCGUAGCUCAGUGCAGGAACAGUUGCCGGAUGCUGGAGGCCUUGGAUGUGGUUCCCAGUGUCCCCUACCCCCAAAUAAAAGUUUCAUAAGUGGGGCAGGAAGCUACCAGAUAGGUCUAAGGAUGGGGCUCUGAAGGGUCUCUGUUCUGUCUCCCUGAGUAGCUGCCAGUCUGCUGGUUUUCAGAAUUAUUCCAGAGUUAUAGAUGAGGUGAGACCAAGGUAAACUGAGAUACCACAGGGCUCAGAAUGCUUACCAAGAUCUUGCCAAGAUUUCCUUUAGAAAAGAAAAGAUUUAUUUCUCGUGUGCAUUGGUGUUUUGCCUGCAUGUAUGUCUAUGUAAGGUGUUGGAUCUCCUGAGGUUGGAGUAAUAGAUGGUUAUGGUUAUGAGCUGCCAUGUGGGUGCUGAAAACCAAACCCAGGUCCUGAAAAGCAACCAGAGCUCUUAACUGUGGCUCCAUCUCUUCAGCCCUAGUUUUUUCCCCACAGGUGGUGUGUAAGUCUUUGUUUACUCCUCAAAUUCUGCAAGGUUAUUUAUUUUAUCAGCUACAUUAAAGCAUAGAAGUUGUAUGUAUUUAUGGAUAUACUGUGCAUUUAUGUUUGGAUAUAUGUGGUGUGUUUGUGAACGUGUACAGCACAUGCAUGUGUAGGUGUAAGCACCCAUGUACGUAUGUUGAGGCCACAGGAAGAUGUUCAGUGUCCUGUUCUAUCAUUCUCUGCUGUAUUCCUUUGGGCAGGGCAGGCUGUCUCACGGAAUCCGAAGGACUCUGGUUUGGCUAACCUAGGUGGAACUUCUUGUCUGUGCUGGGGUUUUCAGCUCUCACAGCCAUGCCAGGCUUUUGUGUAGGUGUUGGGAGUUUGAACUCUGCUCCUUAAGUAUAUACAGAGUGUUCUUACUCAUUUCUACGUAUGCUGUUUAGCCGGAUGCAGACAUUUAUUUCAAACUGCAUCAUUUCUUUAUGACGGCCUGUACGUCAGCACUCAGCCAGCACAGUGGCUGGGGAUGUUCCACUGUGCUCCGUACCUCCCAGAACACAUCCAAACCCAGGGAUCUUCAGAUACGUGACCUGCCUCGAGUUGCGGGCAAUGCUUAGCCUGUAGCCACUUUAAACGUGGGAAUAGGAUUAGGAAUAGUGGUUAGGGCAGACAUGGAGUAUCUCCCAAAGUAUAGACUUAGAACCUGGUCCCAGGAAUGUUCACAAGUGGUCUAAAUUGUGUGACAAACGUUUCCUCUCCAUUUUCUUCCUGGGACAGUCCUAGAGUGCACCAGCACAUCUAAGCUUAAGGAGGCCCUAGGUAUAAGAAGCAAUCAGUUAUUUAUCUUGACAUUUCCUGGGUCCCUCGAACCACAGAGCACUCUUUUACACCUUCCUUUGACUGACAGAUUGUUGUUUAUCCUGUUAUCUUCCUGAAAUCAUAUAAAAUAUGGUGGUUCCUCCACACCAGGUUGCUUAGGACAUCAGUGCUGGACCCUUAAGGACACGAAGACCUCAGUCAUUCAGGUGAGUCUGAUGUCACAUCCUUGCUGCUCCAAGUCUCCAGUGACCAUAGUACAAGCAGGGUAACAGGCCAAGGAUGCUAAGUCAUAGGACUGUUGUGCGGUGACGACACUAGCUUGUGUGUGUAGACUACUGGAGCCAGGUCAUGGCAGACAGUGAGUUUUAUGUGCAUUAGUAAUUUGGCCUGAGGGCAUUUUUAAGAGUUUGUGUUGCAUUCAUUACCAUUGAAUUAUUAUUACAAUGUGGUUUUGAUCUAUUAUUCUAACCUUUUCUUAAUAAAAUGGCCAAGAGGGAAGCUUAGUCCUGCAUGACUGUGGAGUGACAGUACUUCCUGUGUGGAGUGACAGUACUUCCUGUGUCUCCUUUGCUCCCUUUUUUAUGGGUUCUUUUUGUCAUAGCAUUCCAAAUUCAUUGAUAUCUGUGGGUCUGGCUGGGGCUUGAGGUCACAGUAAAGUUCUCCUUGAAGUGAGAUUUCAAAGAAUGGGGAAAAAGUAGGGAGAGGCUUUCUCUGGGAAAAAGAGUUAGAAUCAAAGGACAAGGAAAGGAUGAACAUCAUUCAGUAAACACCCCUGGGAAUGGACAGCAGUGAGCUUCAGGACCAUCAAGGGAAGAGUCAGCCAGCAGCCUAGUAAAUCUCACAUGGGGUCCUAUUGCAUGCUCCAGAAUUAAGCCUCUUCCUGGAGGGAAUGCUGGCUUCCCACCUCUGCCUCCAGGAAGGGAGAUGGCAGGGUUGUAGCACCAGUGUUAUGUCAUGCCUCCGACACCUCCACCCUGAGAAUGGAGGGCAGAGCUCCUCUCUUUAGAGCUGCCUUGUCACCUGGCAGAUUUCUACUGCAGACUCAGGUUCAGGGCAGCUCUACGUUUCCUCCUGGGUCUGUCCUCUAGAAGAACAUUGAGGAGCCAACGUGACAUUCCCAAAAGGAAAAAGUGCAUCCCUGAUCCCCCAGAGAGUGAGAACAGAGACUCCAAGGGCCAGGUGUACACUAGGCUGCAUAGAGCUCCCCAGUGUAGGUGAUCUCAGAGUAAAGGACACUCCAAGUGUCCUGUCAACACUCACUGAGGAGUAAAACUACCUUUGCAGGAGCUCCACUUUGAUCUACAGCAGGUAAUGAAUUAAGGCUGGCAAAGGCCUUGCCUUUUCCCCCAGGAAGGAAAAAGUCUGUCAUGAUUGUUGUGCAUAAAAAUUCUAGGCCCCUGUCUACUGUAUGUUUGAACCUUCCACUGGUCCAUACUUUGAAAUGAUGACCCCCUAAUCACCAUGCCACUACACAGCUUACAAGGCUGGGUCUUCUGAGCAGCCUGGCAUCUCACAGACAGCUUCAACCAUGGCAUCCUGUCUGAGCCCAGGCUGGACCCCAGGAACAAGUGACUGGAGGGAAGCACCAUGCCUGGGUGGUGGUGGGGGGAGUUCACCUUGCUGGAGGAGGCUCAGGGCUGGUUCACUGUUCUGCAGACACAGGUAGAGCUGGCUCAUUUACAGCCAAAAUAUUGUGUUCAGUGCAAAGUUCUGUUUUGCUGUAAAGUUAUAAAUGAUGACACUCAGCCUGGUUCCUGCGAGUUCUCACUCCCGAGGAUCUGCUUGCUCUAGCUGCUUCUCCGUUACCGCUUUCACACACCGUCUUCUUGGCCGUUGUUACCACGCCCAAGACUUGCAUAGCGUUCCACAGACUGUGCUAGCAUGGCCCCACACCAUGCUAGCCCCAAGCGUUCUGUAGACUAGCACGCCUUCCUGUCACAAGCUCUGUUCACACUCCCAACACCCAAUGAGAUCAUUACUCAGCAGACUGGAGCCCGACAACCAGAUUUAUGUGUUAAAUGCUCAAUGUACAAUGCAUCCACACAAUUAACUUACAGCCAAUUGAUGAGAUAUAAUGCCCACGUAGACACACAAAGGCCUGUACACAUCCGUCCCUUAAGAACAUUCAUAACAACCUGUAAAGGUGCAGAGAGGAAUCUUAACAUCCUCCUUCAUGCUCUCUCCGCUCUUCUCCUUCUUCGCUCCAGUCUCCUCUAAAACUUUUCUCCUGCCCAUCCUUCCUUCUCGUCCAAUGGCAAGCCUUGUUCUAUCUUGUACCUGCCUUCACCUAUAUGACAUCAUCCUACGGUUCUGACUGGAAGAGAGGAGCCAAGAGCUGGUGUCCAUCUCUGAGACUGAAGCACAGCUCAGGACUCUCUAGGCUUGGAGGAGAGCUCAGUCUCCAUGCAUCCCCCACCUUUAUAGCCCCCUGGUGUCAGCAGUUGUACUGAGUGGCCUCUGUCUGGUUCAUAUACCCACCCUGUCUUGUUUGUCAUUUGGUGCAUUAAAGAAAAAGACUUUCCAAGGAGUCUGGCUGGCAUGGCUGGUAACUGCCUGUUUGGCAGCUCCUGGAGGGGUGUGGGGUGCAGUCUGUGGGUCUCACUCCCGUUCUAUCCAGGCUUGUGAUGGGCUGGGCUCUGGUCUGCUUUAUUCUGCUGGGCUCUGAUCACAGCUACCACCUUCAAGCCAGAGUGUAUACCUUUAAUUUAUUCUGGAAACACUUCCCACAGCUAAUCUGGACCUGCCCCGGAACCCAGAGCUUACAGGAACACAGGAUUCCAUUGGGGAGUUCUUGGGUGGAACACUAGGGACCGGCAGUCUCCUUGUGGAAGAUACCACAGGCCCGUGUGAGGAAGGGGUCUUCCAGCCGGGACAAACCAUUUCAUCCCCUCUUUCCUGAAACAUGACUUUAGGGAGGACAAAACUCUGAGUCUCUAGCAAGUUCCUUGCCCUGGGAUUUUCAUUUCUGCAGCAAAAGACAGAAACUGUGGCUCAAUUUAAUGAGCUCUGUUGGGGUUGCUGUGAAUUGCUUUUAUUGGGCUUGCACACUGAGAGGCCAGGACCGCACUCCUUCCUGCCUGCCACCUCCCACAGAACCUUCCAGGCACCUCGCAGCACCAGCCUGAACACCCAGACCUCAGCUGGUAUCACUCCUCAUGACCAUCACACACCGAAUCCAAGUGCGGAAUUAAAUUAGACUCAAAAUGGUCACAUAACACCUGGGUCUCUGCUGAUGGUCACCAGUGACAGCGAGUGCUGAUUUUCUGUGGCCAGGCUCUCUUUCUCCAAAGCUCCCUCAUUUGAAGCCCCUGCUGCUUGUCUCUUCUAUUUUGCAGCUUUCUCUGUUAAGGUUGCCACCAUCACCGAGCUGGUGUUUAUUUCUCUCUUGCUGUCCUCCGAGGUAGCUGGGCCUAAUUCUGUCCUUCAUCCCCUACCACACGGCACUUGGAUACAACACUCAGGUAUUAAUUCUGAUCAAUAAUGGAAAUAUAUUCUUUAGCUGGCAGAGGCCGCUCUUCUGUGCUCAGCCAUGGUGGAGGUGGGGUGUGGGAGGGAAGGACUCAGUUAUCUUUUACGGCCUCCAGUGGCAACUCGGCCCAAGGACAUUAAUAUGGUGUCAGACGGCAGCCAACACCACAGAAAUCACAUGGCCCUCCAUGGCAACACAGGCCACGGGACAUCCACACAGACCCCAGUUGUGGUAGGGCCCUUGGCCCUCGGUGGUAGCACCAUUCUUGACUGAUGGAAUGGAGCACACCCAUUGCUCUGUAUCUUCAAGGGUUAGUAAGAAGACCCCUCACAGCUUCUAUUUCCUGUCUCCUGGAACCAGGACACGUGACACAUUGGGUGCUUCUGUUGGCAGUUUCCCGCUGAGACAGGCGUCUGGCCAUCCCAGCCAACAACAGUAAAUUAUCCUGAAAACCCCCCCCCCACUAACCCAUCUUUCUGUGAAUUGUACCAAGUGGCUUCUGUUGAUAACAGAGGGAACAGAUACGUGCUGCUGAAACCUCUGGUCUAUUAAAAAAGACCCCGAGCAGGGAAGUUGCUGCUGUGUAUGUAACAGAUCUCUGUAUGUAUUAAUUCAGGCAAGGAACACUGAAGUCUUUGCUGUGUGCAUAAUUAAACCACUAUUUUUCUACAAGAGGAGAAAACUGAGUACACAACGCAAACACUGCAAUUUGUAGCAAACAAUCUGAAAUCUGAGUUAUUUGGGGCUGCAUGUGUGGACCUUGUGUCUACAUUGUAUGUUUAAAACCAAGGCCGCAGUGAGGUCAUGUGACAACACAGGUAAGCUGGGCCAUUUCAUGUUCAGAUAUCUUAUUCCAUUACCAAUCAUUUUACAGCCCCCACAGUCAGCUUAUAACAAAGGUUUUUAAAAAGGAAGCCAUGAGUUAGCAUAAUGCAAAUAUUACAUCUACUCAUGGAUAUCUACAUAUACUACACACAUAGAACACAGACACACACACACACACACACACGCAUGCACACGCACACAGACACACAAACAUCACAGAGAGAGAGGCGGGGGAAGGAGGGAGAGAGAGAACACACACUUGGUGAAUGUGAGCUAUGUACAGAGAUGCGAAAUAUACGGGUUCUCAGACUUUCCACCUCCUCUGGCAGAGACAUGAGGAAGGAGCUUCUGCUAUGGCGAUACAAUGUCAGUUUGCAAACUGGAAAUUAAGCCAGGGAGCGCCUCAAUGGUAGACUUAAGCUCAUGGUACUUUACCUUGGUAGCUACAUCUCUCAGCUCUGCGUCAUCACCACUGAAAUAUCUGAUUCAAACAGCUUAAAGCAGGAAGGUCUUAUCUUGGUCAUGGUUUCAGAAGAGUCAGUCCAUCGAGGCAUGAAGCCCUGGUAGAGCAGCCCUCUGCAUGGAGGACAGGAAAUGGAAACGCUGGCUCUGGGCCAGCUAUCUCUCUCCCACACCUUUUAAAUUACACCUGGGCUUCCACCAGGGUGAUGGUGACACUCUAUUCAGGCAAUCCUCUCUGGAAGCAUCCAGGAGAGCAUUUUACCAGGCUCUUAGGCUAUUAUGAAGGUUAGCCCCCACAGCAGCUUGGGUGAACGAAGUCACAAGCCAUCAUUUUCACCAUGUUCCUCUCAGUUGAUGUGCACCAACUAGGUUUUGUUGCUCUGUGCUGGAAACCUCAGUUAAGUGGUUGCCUCCAUCAGAUUGCUCCUGGGCCUGUCAGUGAAGCAUCUUGAUUAAUCAUUGAUGGGAGAGGGUCCAGCCCUCUGCGGGUGGUGCCAUCCCUAAGCUUGUGGUCCUUGGGUUGUAUAAGGAAGCGGGCUGAGCAAACCAGUAAGUAGCACCCUCCAUGGCUUUUGCCUUGGCUUCUGAUUGUGUCCUGCUCUGACCUCUCUCAAUGACCAAUCAUGAUGGGAUUCUGUAAGGCAAAUAAACUUUUCUCAUCAAGUUGCUGUGACCAGUACAGUAACAGAAGGUAAAUCAUGGUUAAGCCACAACCUUAACCCCACUCUGGAACUGUUGUGGUUUGAAUGAGAAGUGCCUGUCAUAGGUGCACGUAUCGGGCACUUGGCACCUGGGUGGCAGUGCUGUUUAGGCAGAUUAUAGGUCUUUUAGGGUAGAAGUCUUGUGAAGGAAGUUUGUCAUUGGGGGUGGGCUUUGAGGGCUCAUUCCACUUCCUGUUUUCUCUCUGUCUCCUGUGUAUAGUUGAGAUGUGCUCUCUCAGCUUCCUGCUCAGGGCAGUUGCUCCAUGUCUUCCCUAGACUCUCUGUCUGGAAGCCUGAGCCAAAACUAAUUCUUUCUUCUGUGAGUCCCUGCUGGUCAUGUGUUUUAUCACAGUGACAAAAAAGAACUGACGCAGCCACAUUUCAGGAACACUGUACUAUGCCCAUGAUCUUCCACAUAGGACUCAGAAACACCCAUUCAAUCUGCUCAGGGUGGGAACUAAACACAAAUUCCAGGUUGAGAAACUAGAAGCAGCCCAGGUUUGCCCCACCCCCAGCUCCAGUUCUUAACUACAUACACUGAGUUAUUUCCCAGUAUGUGGUGAAGAAGAACAUACAGGAGGAGCUAACCCACAUGUGUUCAAGUUGAGUGUCUUUCCCCUCAGUGAAGCUCUUGGUUUUGUUUCCUCUUCAGACCCCUCACCUGGGAGUUUUGUCUUGGCUGCCCACCCGGCAGAGUGUUGCUCUUUUGAGCCUCCUUUCUUUCCCCUGAAGUUUAAAAGUGGGCUGUCAGUUAUGCUAGCUGUCACUCCAGUAUGUGUCAUGGGACCCAGCACCUGACUGGGCUUCAUAAAUGUUCCUAAAACCUGACUAACUACAUAGAAAACUUGGCUGUGGUGAGGGGCAUAAGUAGCUAAGCAUGGAGAACAGCCUGGCAGGCCUAGCAGUAACUCCCAGAUCAGCAAAACCAACUAUUGCUCAGGGAACUCCAGGCACAACCAAAGUGCCAGCCCCCUCUCUCAUUGGAAAGCAAAGCAAGAAACAGAUUAAGAAUUGAUUAGCGCAUAAUGUAAAUAUUGAUUUUGUUCACGUGUUUUCAUGUGUGAUUGUAUGUGUAUAUGGUGCAUUUAUACUUUGGGUGUCCUUUAUUUCUCCCUGCCGUUCAUACAGGGCCUCUCAGUGAAGCUGGAUCCAGGAUGGUUAACAGCAAGUGUUGGGGUUACAGGUGCAUGGCCACACCCAGUGUUUUACAUGGGUGUGGAAUUUGAAUUCAGGUCUUCAUGCUUGCAAGCAAGUGUCUUGCUCAUGUAUAUUUUAAAAAAUCCAGUGACAGUGUCUUGUAGCUUGAAGGUGACUUCUCCUUGUCCCUCCAUUGCUUUUUUUUUUUUUUUUUUGCCUAGCUUCAUCUGUGCUUCUGAGCUGGCCCAACCCUCCUAGGAAAACCCACUCCACCUGUAAGAACAUACCUGCAUCUCUGAAAUUCAGAACCCUGUGGUUCCCAUGCUCCCUUGGCCUUAUGAUGAGGUCACUGUUGGUUACUAUUAUUUAGCUUCCCAUAGGCAGAUGCUAACGGAGUGAGUUGUAUUCUGAGGUCAUCUGUAAAUGUGCCAUGGAAACUGGAACACAGGCUCCCAUAGACAUUGUGUCACUGAAGGAGCAUGUGUCUCUGGCCAAGUCAGAAGACCUACGAACACAACCUGGCAGAACUGGGCCACAGUGGAGUUCUGGGGUUCUCAAGGAGCCCAGAAACCGAAAGAACCGAUUCUGCCUUCUUGAGCACAAGACCAGCUGUCAGAAAACAGACAAACAAACCAAUCAAACACAUUGAAAGGCUUGAGCACUGGUGACUCUAGCUCUUCUGGAACUUUCUUCUCUCUACUGCUCUUUCAUUGGUCACCCGUCACAGCUCCUGUCUCACUGCCAAGGACACUAGGUAUCAUCCCUCUAGCUGCUAGAGUCUACCACAAGAUGCUUCUCUAAGCCUCCCCACUCCCUCCAGGCUUCUCAUUCUCUUGGAGAUUUCCCAGAUGAAAGGGAGAAUGAACAUGAUAGAUGUGUCCCUAGAAGGAAUAUAGCAAAUCAUUUGUGGCCAAGGCAUCUGGGAUGAGACCUAUUAUGGUGGUGAUCACCUAGGACCAGGACUUAGCCUCCUCUUCACCUGACAGUGAUGAUGCAGCCCCAUGGCUGCCCUGGGAGUUCAGUGUACACAGGCAAAGCUCAGCUCCCAACUCAGCUGCCCCCACAUGAUCCUUGCCUGGCAGUCUUGGCAGUGCACAGCACAUCUUUCUUCAUAUUUGAAUGGCUUCUUUUCCAUCCUCACUUGUGUGGCCAUGUAGAUCUGCAUGUUAUUGUAAGCACCCAUUUCUGUUAUUCAGUUGUCUGUUAAAUUUAGAGAAAAAUAAAAAAGCAUGGUUCACCUUCUGUGACUUCAUUCUGGACAUGUUUUACUCUUCCCUGAGUUGCUUUCCUGCCUCCAGUUGUCAAUGAUUGCAUUUCAAUCUCUCUUGUUCUAAGUUUCUGUUGUGAUUUCUGCUUUGGGAUGAAGCGCUCCAUCUUUUUACCUUCUCGUGCUCUUGAUCACAGGUUUGAAGGGCCAUGUCAGCUCUAAGGUCUGGACCCUCUGUCUCUUUCUAACAUCUUUUCCGACCUCGUCUGCUUCUGUUUUUCAUUUGUUGCUCUGUCUUUGUAUGUUUGGCAGCUUUAAAAGUGCAUGUCAGACAUUGUGUAAAACGGUCCCGGGAGCUGGACCUUUUAGAGGACGAUUAAGGGUUUUUCUUUUUUCUUUUCUGGAAGGCUGGUAAAGUAUUUGACAAUAUUCUGGUAUGGUUAAGGACUGGUUAUUUGCUGUGAUAUUUAACUUCCAUCACCAACUUGACUGGAUUAAGAAUCUUCUCAGGAGACAUUUCCAGAUGUAUCUUCUAGGGCAUUUUGUGAGAAAAUUAACUGAGGAAGGUAGAUCCAGCCUAAAUAGGGGAGGUACCAUCCCACAGUGUAGAGGUGAGGAAAGGAGGGGAGAGGAAAGAGAGAGGGAGAGAGACAGAGAGACAGAGACAGAGAGAUGGAGAGAGACAGAGAGAGACACAGAGACACACAGAGAGACAUAGAGAGAGACACAGAGAGAGAGACAGAGAGAUAGAGAAUGGGCAAGUAUUGGCUUCUCUCUCUCUCUCUCUCUCUCUCUCUCUCUCUCUCUCUCUCUGAUAUCUGUUCUAUCAAGAUGUGAUCAAGCAAAUCAGGAGUACAAGCACUUGGGAGGCAGAGGCAGGUGGAUCUCUGUGAGUCUGAGGCCAGCCUGGACUACAGAGUUGAAUUCCAGGACAGCCAGGGCUACACAGAGAAGUUCUGUCUUGAACAAACAGGACAAGAACAAUGACAAAAGGCUGUGAGUAAGCAACCUCUGCACUGCCGGCUGUGCCUUCCCCACGACAGAGCAGCUAUGUCUUCCCCACUGUGGACUAGAUCGCUACUCUGUGAGCCUGAUCAAGCCUUUCUCUGGCAAGUUGCUCCUGUCAAGUAUUUAACUACACCAGUGAGGAAAAUAACCACCAGGUUACCUAAGCUUUUCUCCCUUCCGAAGCCUGGGCUGGAAGCUUGAGAGUUUAAGUGUACCCUCCUUCCAUGGCACUCUGGACUUGCAUUUUGUUCUUCUAGAACUCUAAGACUAUGGGAAUUAGUAAUGAGCGUUUAAUCUCUCAGUGGGUGAUUUCUGCCUGGCUUCUGUGGCAGUUAAUUUUGUGUCUGGAUGAAGGGAUGUCUAGAGAGACAUAAAGCUUUCCUUCUGGCUAUGUAUGGAGCUUUUCUGAGAUUAGCAUGUGAAUGGAUGUACUCAGUAAAGAAGGUUGCCUUGCCAAAGUGGUGGAUAUCAUGCAGCUCACCACAGAAGGCCAGGGAAGAACAAAAGGCCCAGGCAGACUGAGUGCGGUCCGUUUGAGCCAGUCACCCAUCUGCCUCAGUGUGCUUGGCUCCCAAGCCUUCAGAGUUGCACCAAGGCUUAUAUACCAUGUCAUCUCCAAUACCCACCCGAACAGUUCUUAGCCCAGUAGACUCAGACUGAGCCUCACUACCACUUUCCUGGAUCUCUAGCUUGCCAAAGCAGAAGGUGGGACUUCUGGCUUCUCGUGUUGAUUUUACUUCUGCAGAAACCAGAUUAAAACAGUUCUUUGAGCCCUAGGUUUGAUGCUGCUGUGAGUCACAACCUACGUCCCCAGAAUUGAAGGACCCAUGACCUUAGUUGUUUGACCUGCACUUGGAAGCUCUCUUUGGGGAUUUCCUUCACUUUCCUGUCGUCAGGGCAGCCACAGUUCUCUCUGCAUGUAGCACCUGGUACUGACUCUGGAGAGUUCUAAAAGAUUUCUCCUGCUCCAGAAUUCUCUCCAGGGGCAGCAGAAGCUGGCCUAUAAUAAAUGCUGUUUUCUUCCUCUCCCUUCCAUAGAGGUUGAUUCUGUAAGCCCUUUUCAAGUUCAUGGGGCUCACUAAAUUUUGCUGUCAAGGAGCUUGAUCUGUGAAAUCAGUGCACAUAACUGAGAACUCAGCAGUGGUGUGUGCAUGUGUGGUAUGUAUUGUAUGGGGUGUGUAUGGGGUGUGUGCGUGUGUGUGUGUGUGUGUGUGUGUGUAUUACACCUGUGGGGUGUGUAUGGUGUGUGUUGAAUUGUGUGUGAUGGUGUGUGUGUGUGUGUGUGUGUGUGUGUGUGUGUGUGUGGUGUAUUACACCUGUGGGGUGUGUAUGGUGUGUGUUGAAUUGUGUGUGAUGGUGUGUGUGUGUGUGUGUGUAUGUGUGUGGUGUAUUACACCUGUAGUGUGUGUAUGGUGUGAUGGGAUCUGUGCCUUGAACAUUAGGCACUGUCAAUGCAUUUCUUGUGUCUUGUGGAUUUGUCCCCUGUGGGGCAGCUUUGGUUUCUUUUCAGGGCCUUCCAACAGUUGGCCUUUGUGUCUAAUCCAGUGUUAUAGUUGUUCUCAGUGAGGAACUAAUCUGAAAUCAUCCGCUCAAUCAUAGCUGGAAACAGAUCAUGCUGACUUUUAAUUCUCAGAAGCCAGGAGGGGCAAGGCCGGAAACUGUUGCUGGGAACUUAAUUCUGUUCAACAAAGGGCCGUUGAUGGGAGAUGCAGAGAGAAGCUGCCUGCUUGUGUCAUUCGGAAGGGAUGUACAGAACACCCAGACAUGUGCCCUGAACUCCAGACGUGCAGACUGCAAAGCUCCCGUGGAAAAACACAGGCUCUCAGGGCAUGCAGAGUAACUCGGGUGUGGGAGGAGAAACCCAAGAGAUUUUAAGAGAGUGAAUGAAAUUCUGUUGCUAUUGUGAUGAAACCAGCAAACAAAGAAUAAGGACCAAAUUGAAAAGCUCAAUAAGACUGGCCCAUCGCCAUGCCUGUGUGAGCAAUGAAAACGGUAUCUGGUUGACAUUUUGAUUAAGAGCAACAGGAAGGGGAGGGUUUAAAGAGACAGUUACUGAUGGGCUGAAUGACAGCUAGCAGGAUGAGGCUUAAUGGAAUGAUGAAUAAGAAAGUAGAUGUGUGUGUACGUGUGCGUGCGUGUGCAUGCUUGUGUGUGUGUGUGUGUGUGUGUGUGUGUGUGUGUGUGUGUGUACAGGUGCAUGUGCAAAGUGUUGUAAAGGCCAGGAGUUGAUGACCAAUGUUUUCCUCAGCCACUGUUCAUCUUCUCUUUCGAGGUAGGGUUUCUUUUUGAAAUCUGGAGCUCACCAGUUCCAUUAGGUCUGGUGAGCCCCCAGGAAACAGUGAACCCCAAGAGACUCCUGUGUGUCCAUCCUCCAAUGAUGGGGUUACUUACACAUAAGUGCUGCCACACUCAGAUUUUCACACGAGCCCUGAAGUUGAAUCCUUGUGACUGGCAAGCACCUUACCAACUGCGCUGUCAAAAUGAGUUCAUUCUUGGGAGAGCUUAGAGGGAAUGGGUAAGCAUUGUAAGACAGAGGGUGGGAUCGAGCCAAGUCGUUAGUUUUGAGUUUGUUAUUUUAGUUUCAGACUCUAUGUGUUUUCUUUGCAUGGACUCCUUUUUGUUACCCUUUUUCCUUUUACACUAACUUUAGUGUUCAUUUGUCUUUGAAUUCAAGAAAAACUCAUCAGGGCCAGCUCAAGAUUUCUGUUACCCUGAUAACCUGUGCUUCUGUAAACGGUGGUUGAACUCUCACCUACAGAGCACGAGUCUUUCAAUUGGCAGACAGUAGCAGGGCACAUUGUGGUGAGAGCCGUGCAUGGAACCCUUCUCUAUGAUGUCUCCUUUUGUUUCUGCAACAAAGGCAUACCUGACAGCCAUCAGCAUGCAUGAUUCCUAAGGUCUGGUUUAAUCAUAUGCCUGUCUCUCAGCCCUCAUCAGAUAACUCCCAGGAAAGUGACUAGAGCCUACUCACUGGCUGCCAUCAGAUUUAUGAAUUGAGGGGUUUUUAACUGCUCAGCCACACAGACUGCAGGGGCACAGAGAGACACAGCAUCUGGGUAUCUGGCUGUGCUUACUAGCUUGCAGCCAAGUUAAGUCCUUAGAAACAAAUACAAAACUGUCCCUGGCUCUGGUGUGCUCACUAUGAAACUCGGGCCUUUCAGUGGCUGUCCUAAUGAACACACCCUGCGUGUGACACAGAUACCCCAGCCCCAGUGUUUUAGAGGGGCUCUUCCGCAGGCCUUCUAAUGGAGAAAAGUAAGGCACACAAUGAAACUUAUCAUAAACUCAGUGAUGUGUCCUUUCAGGCAACAGCUGUUGACAUGAGAAGACAAAGAACUUCAGGCCCCUGCUGCCCCAGUGAAGGCCACUGGGGAGCCACUUGGAAAAUGUCUUACUGCAGAGAGCUGCCAGCGAUGACGACGACUCUGGCACCAGCUGCACAAUCUGAAACCUGUCUCCGCUCAGUCGCACAGACUGGAGGGGCACAGAGAGACACGGCCUCUGGGUAACUGGCUGUGCCUUCUAGUUUGCAGCCAAGUAUCUUGGCGUCACGGAGUUCAGACUUGAUUGGUCUUGGUGUAAAUUGCUGGUCCCUGCUACCCUGCUUUUGGUAGCUGAAGUUUAACGUGGGUGUGUGUGUAAGGGGUCCACACCUGCUGAAACAUUUCAGAAGCAGUCCGUGCAGGACACUCAUUACACAUGAGGAGGACAAGCCAGGCUUCCCCUUCCCACACUUGGGUUCAUCGGCUAGAAUUUCAAAGAUUUCCUUCGUGGGAAAAAGAUACCUCAGCAAUGUCGAGUAGUAAUGAUGAAUUUUCAAACUGCUGCCAUAAAAAGCGAGAACAAAUCAUAGUCUGUCCUUACAUUUCUCUGUAACUUUAUACAGUAAAAGACAACAAAAUUCGCCUUGUGCAGUGGACAUCCCUGCAGGUUUUGACAGGUUUAUACCAUUUAAUCAAUUUUGAUGAAUUUAUUACAUUGAUAUGCAUAUCCAUCUGUUACACCCGUAAUCAUAUCCAGAGGGGUUCGUCCUCCCCCACCCCCAAAUUCCUUCAUGCUCCCAGUUGUGGUCAGCUCUCUCUACCACCCCCACUGCUGGCAACCUCUGAUCUACUCCUGAUGCUUUUGCCUUUUCCAGGAUAGUAUACAAAUGGAAAUAUCACACAAGGUGAGGCCUUUUGGCUUCGGGCUUUUUCUUCUUUUUGGAGAUUGGCUAACAGCAAACGCAAAUCUUUCCGCUUCUGCUCGCUGAGAGCUGAGAUUACAAUAGACACCAACACACCCAACUUCUUAAAAUUUAAUCUCAUUUGGUUAGCUGUAUUUGUGAACAUCUUCUCCAUUGGUGUGUUCUAUACAGAGAAAAGAAAACUUGGGGGGUGGGUGUGUUUCUGAGGAUCCCAAGAGCCCUGAGAGGGAACAUGGUGCUCUCAGGAAACUCGGGCCCCCCACAGAGUUUUUGCCUCUUAAAGGAGGGUGUGCAGGAGUCAGAAAGGUUGACCCAUCUGACCUUAGCCUCCCUGCAGCUCUAAGAAGACUGUGGGUUGCUUAGCCUUUCACUGUCUUUAACCAGCUUUGGGAUCUGACCUGGGGCUGGGUAAUUAACAUGACUAAUUAGCCGGGCUUCAGUUCUAUGGGUAGUAGUGGUUUGGGCAGCACCAGGUUUGUGGAGAAAAGUGCAAAUUAACUCUGUGCCCAGGCAGCACCCUUAUUACACUCCAUCAACAACACAGCUGGAGCAGCCUUACAUUUGCUCAGUGUUCACUCAUUAUGGUAAUUGCCUUUCCAACAAUGGCUAUGUCAACCCCCGCUUCUUUCCUGGAGAAACAGGAUUUUAUAUAUGUGUGUGUGUGUGUGUGUGUGUGUGUAAACCUGUGGUGGCUUUGGAGGGGGUUGUCUAGGCUAUUACUUGUUUUGUGUACUUGGUUUGAUUUUUAGUUUCAAAACCCAAGUCCAAGCCAUCAAGUCGGUUCACCUCUGAGGUUGUGUUGACUGGAAGAUUUGAAUUAUGUAGCACCCCCGUGCUUAGAUAUGCUUGCCUGUGUUUUUCAGAUGCGCGCCUAUGUCUCAGGAUCUCCUUCUGCCACCUCGUCCUGGAGUCUAUGACAGAUCUUAGCUGUGGCUUAGAUGGUAGCUAUGGCUGUACUGGGGAGAGAGACCACACAUCCAUGUGAGUCAUGCAGUGUGUGGGACAAGUGGACCGUGUCACAAGACAGAAGAACUGAUGAGGUUCAAUGAAGUAGGUUCAAGACCCCAGAGAAUCUCAGAAUUGAGAAUGGAACCAGCUCCCUGACAAGCUCCACCUGUCCUUCCACGUAACCAUGACACCCCACUGAGAGGACCAUUAUGAUUGGUCAUGUAGCAUAAAAAUGUAGAGUUCUCCAUGCUAAUGAGGUUUCUAGAUAGACCCUAAGUGUUUAGCCAAUGAGCUUCCCUGCCUGCUCCUGCAAAAGGUAAUUAGUUCCUAGUUCUCCCUGAGUAAGAUGUGUGCAUUUACAUCCUCAUUAAAUACAGCAGUUUGGACAAGCAA